GGUCAGAUUUAAGCAUUGUCAGCCAGACUUACUACUAGAAAUGCCAUUCUGUACUGGUUAUUGGGUCAAAUGUAAGCACUGGCUGCAAAGCUUACUACUAGAAGUGCCAUUCUAUAUUGGUUAUUGGGUCAGAUUUAAGCAUUGUCAGCAAGGCUUACUACUAGAAAUGCCAUUUUAUACUGGUUAUUGGAUCAAAUUUAAGCAUUGUCAGCAAGGCUUACUACUAGAAGUGCCAUUCUACUGAAGAUCAUGCAAGUAUAUACAAUAUGUACACAAUUUACAUAAAAUAUAUUUUGAUAUUCUAGCUGAUAUAGUAAUUUUAGAUAAUUAGUUUUAUUAUAUGAAAACCACGUCCAAUCUAUAAACUAAUCUUAGCUAGGGGCGAAUCUACAUACACAUCAUCUUCACAGGUCAAGGGUUAUUGCUUCACUAAGUGCGAGGUAACGCAUCAAUAACCUGUGAAGAUGCAUACACAUGAGGAAUAUCGAAGUACAUAUGUAUCUUUAAAGGCCAAAUUUAGCAAACAUUUGACCUUUAUUAGAACCAUCUAUACUAAGAACGGAGAAGGGUAGGUUGACUGCCUUUCAUUUUGUCAUUUAAUGAACCGUCAACAUAAUCAUGAUUUCAAUUCAUGAUGUACUCACACAAAAUGUGAAAAUAGCAUUACUUUAAUCGUACAUUGUUGCUCAAAUUGACUAAUUUGAUGGUUAAACAUCCAGCACAUGUUUGAAUUUACCUUUUACUUAUAUCUUAACAAUGGCCAAUGUGGAAGUGACUUUAAAUAAGCAAAACACAACAAAUGUUACAAACUUUCAGGAAAAUUUCGCAUGUUGAUUAUGUAAUUUCCUUAUGUUGCAUUGUAUUAUAUGCACAUGAAAUACAUGUAUUAAAAUAAGGAUUUUUUCUAGUCACGAACUUCAACAUUCUUACAAUCUUGGAAGAUAUAAAAGGACAGGUGCUACUUCAAAUCACCUUGGCCAAGGUUGAAGCGACUAUAUUAAGGAACGAGACUCAGGAGGAGGUGGACAUACCCUUAUAGACCUUUGAAGAACUAAAUUCACUGGAAGAACAACUAGAAUAUGUAUAAACCAUCAACAUUUUAUUGGAAAAUUCUUCGUGAUUGGUGGAGGUUAUAUUCAAACAAGUGUGAGAAGACUAGUGUCUUUUUGCUGAAAAACACUCUAGCAACUCAAUUAAAAUGAAAUGGAAAGGGGACCAAACAAGGAUCAUCAAAUCACAAGUUGAGAGGCAUGAUGAUGAAGGCAGUCAGGAAAAACAAAGUUUAUCAACAUGCAACUGAUAUUGAAAUAAAAAGGCCAUUAAAGAUUAGCCACGACACGGCAGGGAGGAAGGCGAAAAAGAGAAGAGAAGAAGCGGGAAUGGGAAUAAAAACAGGAAUGGGAGCAGGAGAGGUGGGAAAUGACCAAAGCAGCGACGCCAACGAAUGUUAAAAACUUAUUUCUCAUGCAGGAACUUUUUACACUCAUAAAUUCUCGAAAUGAUUUUACAUGCAGAACGUUACUGUAUGUAUAAUGUUUUCUGAUGUUAAGAAACAAGACUCACGUUUUUCAUUUCAGUCUGUUAAUUUUGCAAUAUUGUAGAAUUAUAUAUUUAAAAAAUCCCCAACAAGUUAUUAGCGUAAUUUGUUUAGUACUGACACUCAGACUUUCUGAUUUGUUUUGCAUUAAGUAUACAUUGGGAAGUUCGAACUUUAUAACGCAU